GUGCCAGCCGCCGCGGUAAUACGUAGGGGGCAAGCGUUGUCCGGAUUCAUUGGGCGUAAAGCGCGUGUAGGCGGUUCAAUAGGUCCGCUGUGAAAGCUCGAGGCUCAACCUCGAGAUGCAGCGGAAACCAUUGGACUAGAGUCCGGAAGAGGAGAGUGGAAUUCCUGGUGUAGCGGUGAAAUGCGCAGAUAUCAGGAAGAACACCUAUGGCGAAGGCAGCUCUCUGGUACGGUACUGACGCUGAGACGCGAAAGCGUGGGGAGCGAACAGGAUUAGAUACCCUGGUAGUCCACGCCGUAAACGAUGGGCACUAGGUGUGGGUGGUGUCGACUCCAUCCGUGCCGCAGCUAACGCAUUAAGUGCCCCGCCUGGGGAGUACGGCCGCAAGGCUAAAACUUAAAGAAAUUGGCGG
rnacentral:rRNA from 1 species